UGCCCCAUGGCUGAGUUGGUUACAGCGUCCGACUGUUACUAAGUAUGGCAUCGGAAGGUCGUGAGUUCGAGCCUCACUGGGGCAG